GUUAGUAACACGUGGGUGAUCUGCCCUGCACUUCGGGAUAAGCCUGGGAAACUGGGUCUAAUACCGGAUAGGAGCCAUUUUUAGUGUGAUGGUUGGAAAGUUUUUUCGGUGUAGGAUGAGCUCGCGGCCUAUCAGCUUGUUGGUGGGGUAAUGGCCUACCAAGGCGGCGACGGGUAGCCGGCCUGAGAGGGUGGACGGCCACAUUGGGACUGAGAUACGGCCCAG
rnacentral:rRNA from 1 species